rnacentral:rRNA from 1 species
AGCGGAGGAAAAGAAACCAACAGGGAUUGCCUUAGUAGCGGCGAGUGAAGCGGCAAAAGCUCAAAUUUGAAAUCUGGCACUUUCAGUGUCCGAGUUGUAAUUUGAAGAAGGUAUCUUUGGGUCUGGCUCUUGUCUAUGUUUCUUGGAACAGAACGUCACAGAGGGUGAGAAUCCCGUGCGAUGAGAUGACCCAGACCUAUGUAAAGUUCCUUCGAAGAGUCGAGUUGUUUGGGAAUGCAGCUCUAAGUGGGUGGUAAAUUCCAUCUAAAGCUAAAUAUUGGCGAGAGACCGAUAGCGAACAAGUACAGUGAUGGAAAGAUGAAAAGAACUUUGAAAAGAGAGUGAAAAAGUACGUGAAAUUGUUGAAAGGGAAGGGCUUGAGAUCAGACUUGGUAUUUUGUAUGUUACUCUUUCGGGGGUGGCCUCUACAGUUUACCGGGCCAGCAUCAGUUUGGGCGGUAGGAGAAUUGCAAAGAAAUGUGGCACUGCCUCGGUAGUGUGUUAUAGUCUUUGUCGAUACUGCCAGCCUAGACUGAGGACUGCGGCUUCGGCCUAGGAUGUUGGCAUAAUGAUCUUAAGUCGCCCGUCUUGAACCACGGAACCAAAAG